rnacentral:rRNA from 1 species
UACGAAGGGGGCUAGCGUUGCUCGGAAUCACUGGGCGUAAAGCGCACGUAGGCGGCUUUCUAAGUCAGGGGUGAAAUCCUGGAGCUCAACUCCAGAACUGCGUUUGAUACUGGAGAGCUUGAGUCCGGAAGAGGUGAGUGGAACUCCGAGUGUAGAGGUGAAAUUCGUAGAUAUUCGGAAGAACACCAGUGGCGAAGGCGGCUCACUGGUCCGGUACUGACGCUGAGGUGCGAAAGCGUGGGGAGCAAACAGG